rnacentral:rRNA from 1 species
CUAAGAGCAAAUGGUGGAUGCCUUGGCUAGUAGAGGCGAUGAAAGACGUGCCAGGCUGCGAUAAGUCUCGGGGAGCCGUCAAGGGGCUUUGAUCCGGGAAUUUCUGAAUGGGGCAACCCAGUAUAUAGUGAUAUAUACUACCGCAAUGCGGAGCGAACGUUGGGAAUUGAAACAUCUUAGUACCAACAGGAAAAGAAAUCAAACGAGAUUACGCUAGUAGCGGCGAGCGAAAGCGUAAGAGGGCAAACCACUAGCUUGCUAGUGGGGUUGUAGGACUGCAAUAUAGACUUAAACAAUCUAAUAGAAUAAGUUGGAAAGCUUAAGCAUAGAGGGUGAUACUCCCGUAUAUGAAAGUGCGUUUAUACUUAGCAGUAUCCUGAGUAGGGCGGGACACGUGUAAUCCUGUCUGAAGCUGGGUAGACCACUAUCCAACCCUAAAUACUACUACUAGACCGAUAGUGCACAAGUACCGUGAGGGAAAGGUGAAAAGAACUGAGGUGAUCAGAGUGAAAUAGAACCUGAAACCAUUUGCUUACAAUCAUUCAGAGCCCUAUGAUUUAUCAGGGUGAUGGACUGCCUUUUGCAUAAUGAGCCUGCGAGUUGUGGUGUCUGGCGAGGUUAAGGAAACCCGGAGCCGUAGCGAAAGCGAGUCUUAAUAGGGCGUAUAGUCAGAUGCUGCAGACCCGAAACGAUGUGAUCUAUCCAUGAGCAGGUUGAAACUGGUGUAAGAGCCAGUGGAGGACCGAACAGACGGCCGUUGAAAAGGCUCCUGAUGACUUGUGGAUAGGGGUGAAAGGCCAAUCAAACAUCGUGAUAGCUGGUUCUCUCCGAAAUAUAUUUAGGUAUAGCGUUGUGUAGUAACUUUGUGAGGUAGAGCACUGAAUGGGCUAGGGCAUACACCAAUGUACCAAACCCUAUCAAACUCCGAAUGCGCAAAGUGUAAUCACAGCAGUCAGGCGGCGAGUGAUAAAAUCCGUCGUCGAGAGGGGAACAACCCAGACUAACAGCUAAGGUCCCUAAAUCUCAUUUAAGUGGAAAACGAUGUGGAGUUACUGAAACAACCAGGAGGUUGGCUUAGAAGCAGCCAUCCUUUAAAGAAAGCGUAAUAGCUCACUGGUCUAGUGAUUCUGCGCGGAAAAUAUAACGGGGCUAAAAUGAGUACCGAAGCUUUAGACUUAGUUUUUAACUAAGUGGUAGGAGAGCGUUCUAUUCAGCGUUGAAGGUAUACCGGUAAGGAGUGCUGGAGCGGAUAGAAGUGAGCAUGCAGGCAUGAGUAGCGAUAAAAGGGGUGAGAAUCCCCUUCGCCGUAAACCCAAGGUUUCCUACGCGAUGCUCGUCAUCGUAGGGUUAGUCGGGUCCUAAGCAAAGUCCGAAAGGGGUAUGCGAUGGAAAAUUGGUUAAUAUUCCAAUACCAAUUAUUAUGUGCGAUGGAAGGACGCUUAAAGUUAGUGGAGCUAGCGGAUGGAAGUGCUAGUCUAAGGGCGUAGGUUGAGUUAUAGGCAAAUCCGUAACUCUCUAUCCGAGACCUCAAAGGCUCUUGACGCUCUUCGGAGUAGAUGGAGAAUCCAUGAUACUAUCGAGCCAAGAAAAGUUUCUAAGUUUAGUAAUAAUUGCCCGUACCGUAAACCGACACAGGUGGGUGGGAUGAGUAUUCUAAGGCGCGUGGAAGAACUCUCUUUAAGGAACUCUGCAAAAUAGCACCGUAUCUUCGGUAUAAGGUGUGCCUAACUUUGUAUUAAGAUUUACUCCCAAAGCAAAGAAGGUUACAACAAAGAGUCCCUCCCGACUGUUUACCAUAAACACAGCACUCUGCUAACUCGUAAGAGGAUGUAUAGGGUGUGACGCCUGCCCGGUGCUCGAAGGUUAAUUGAUGGGGUUAGCAUUAGCGAAGCUCUUGAUCGAAGCCCGAGUAAACGGCGGCCGUAACUAUAACGGUCCUAAGGUAGCGAAAUUCCUUGUCGGUUAAAUACCGACCUGCAUGAAUGGCGUAACGAGAUGGGAGCUGUCUCAAAGAGGGAUCCAGUGAAAUUGUAGUGGAGGUGAAAAUUCCUCCUACCCGCGGCAAGACGGAAAGACCCCGUGGACCUUUACUACAGCUUGACACUGCUAUUUGGAUAAAGAUGCGCAGGAUAGGUGGGAGGCUUUGAUCCAUAGACUCUGGUUUAUGGUGAGCCAUUGUUGAGAUACCACUCUUCUUUAUUUGGGUAGCUAACUAGCCUAAGUUAUCCUUAGGUAGGACAAUGUCUGGUGGGUAGUUUGACUGGGGCGGUCGCCUCCCAAAGUGUAACGGAGGCUUACAAAGGUUGGCUCAGAACGGUUGGAAAUCGUUCGUAGAGUAUAAAGGCAUAAGCCAGCUUAACUGCGAGACGUACAUGUCAAGCAGAGACGAAAGUCGGUCUUAGUGAUCCGGUGGUUCUGUGUGGAAGGGCCAUCGCUCAAAGGAUAAAAGGUACCCCGGGGAUAACAGGCUGAUCUCCCCCAAGAGCUCACAUCGACGGGGAGGUUUGGCACCUCGAUGUCGGCUCAUCGCAUCCUGGGGCUGGAGCAGGUCCCAAGGGUAUGGCUGUUCGCCAUUUAAAGCGGUACGCGAGCUGGGUUCAGAACGUCGUGAGACAGUUCGGUCCCUAUCUGCCGUGGGCGUAAGAAGAUUGAGGAGAGUUGACCCUAGUACGAGAGGACCGGGUUGAACCAGCCACUGGUGUAUCAGUUGUUCUGCCAAGAGCAUCGCUGAGUAGCUAAGCUGGGAUGUGAUAAGAGCUGAAAGCAUCUAAGCUCGAAGCCAACUCCAAGAUGAAUCUUCUUUUAAGAGCUCUAGUAGACUACUAGUUUGAUAGGCUGGGUGUGUAAUGGAUGAGAGUCCUUUAGCUGACCAGUACUAAUAGCUCGUUUGCUUAUCUU